rnacentral:rRNA from 1 species
GAUGAACGCUGGCGGCGUGCCUAAUACAUGCAAGUCGAGCGAACAGAUGAGGAGCUUGCUCCUCUGACGUUAGCGGCGGACGGGUGAGUAACACGUGGAUAACCUACCUAUAAGACUGGGAUAACUUCGGGAAACCGGAGCUAAUACCAGAUAAUAUAUUGAACCGCAUGGUUCAAUAGUGAAAGACGGUUUUGCUGUCACUUAUAGAUGGAUCCGCGCCGCAUUAGCUAGUUGGUAAGGUAACGGCUUACCAAGGCAACGAUGCGUAGCCGACCUGAGAGGGUGAUCGGCCACACUGGAACUGAGACACGGUCCAGACUCCUACGGGAGGCAGCAGUAGGGAAUCUUCCGCAAUGGGCGAAAGCCUGACGGAGCAACGCCGCGUGAGUGAUGAAGGUCUUCGGAUCGUAAGACUCUGUUAUUAGGGAAGAACAAAUGUGUAAGUAACUAUGCACGUCUUGACGGUACCUAAUCAGAAAGCCACGGCUAACUACGUG